CGCGGCGACGCGGAAGGAGAGUUCAAAAGUAGAUGAUAUAAUUUUUUUCGUCCCUGCAGAGGAGGUUCGGAGGUCACGAGCAUCUUCGACAGCCCGACUUCGCCGACAGUAUCACAUACACCUCCUCCUAGAUGCACACACACAUUACUGUUGUCCCUCUGGCACUCACAAGAUCGAUGACUUUCCAUUCAUUGAAGUACUAACGAGUAAACAAAUAGUGUGGUCCUAGGUACACAUGGAUGCAUGGAUCCAUUCAUCAUGUUUGUUCCGUCAUUUGACUUCAGGCGGAGCGGAAUUGAGGAAAUGCACCCCAUCAAUGUAGCAUUUUUUUGUCCAUCGAUGAUUCACUUGGGUAGAUCAUAGACAUUAUGCAACUUUUCAGUUCAGUUUGAUUAAUCCGAUGUUGUUCUCCCCUUCGAUCUUUGGACGGUAGUGGUUGUGGUGGCCAUCUUAAUUGUUAGGAUCAUUCAUAUCUGUUUUGUUUAAUAAACUUCGAUCGAGUGGUCUUUGUGCUAUUUUUUUAACUUAGUCUAAAUCCUGGUUCAUUAACAUCUUUUCUUUUUUGCCUUUUUCAGGUUCUAAGAACUCCGAUAUCAUUGGAUACUCUUGGGCGCAUUUUCAUUUAUUCUGAAAAACAUAUAGAUAAAGGUGCACCUAUUUUACCGGAGGCAUAGCUGAUAUUUCCGGUACAUGAAGUUCAACCAAUUCCAAUGAAAGAACAUACUCUGACAAAAUGAUUCAGACUGGGAUAUCUAUAGUACUAGAUGUUAUGAAUUCUAAAGUAGAAGGCCUGUCACCCGAGGAAAUUGUUGCUCAGAUUUGCCAGUGGUGGAAGAUGUUGGUUUUAAAGGCUAGCAGGGACAACCAGUGGUAAAUAAUGUGGUUUUAAGGCUUUCUUUCGGUUUAGGUGGAAAUCUGUUCAGAGGACAAAUCUUCCUUUUGGUGACUGCAGACAAGGAGGUAAAACAAACAAUAUACAGACAAGUAUAUUUUCUACAUUGGGCCUCCUAUUUUGUGUUUGACAAAAUUUGCAAUACAUUGUCAUUCAACUUA